GACGAACGCUGGCGGCGCGCUUAACACAUGCAAGUCGAACGGAAAGGCCUGCUUUCCCUUGUGGAUUGCGGGUACUCGAGUGGCGAACGGGUGAGUAACACGUGAGUGAUCUGCCCCCAACUUGGGUAUAAGCCUGGGAAACUGGGUCUAAUUCCCGAUAGGACUGCAGGGUGGUGCCUGUGGUGGAAAACGAUUUUCUAGUGGUUGGGGAUGAGCUCGCGGCCUAUCAGCUUGUUGGUGGGGUAAUGGCCUAUCAAGGCGGCGACGGGUAGCCGGCCUGAGAGGGUGGACGGCCACAUUGGGACUGAGAUACGGCCCAGACUCCUACGGGAGGCAGCAGUGGGGAAUAUUGCACAAUGGGCGGAAGCCUGAUGCAGCGACGCCGCGUGGGGGAUGACGGCCUUCGGGUUGUAAACUCCUUUCGACCGCGAGGAAGCCACCUGGUUGGAAGGGUGGUGACGGUAGUGGUAGAAGAAGCACCGGCUAACUACGUG
rnacentral:rRNA from 1 species